AUUGAACGCUGGCGGAAUGCUUUACACAUGCAAGUCGAACGGCAGCACGGACUUCGGUCUGGUGGCGAGUGGCGAACGGGUGAGUAAUGUAUCGGAACGUGCCCAGUCGUGGGGGAUAACGUAGUGAAAAUUACGCUAAUACCGCAUACGAUCUAUGGAUGAAAGCGGGGGAUCGCAAGACCUCGCGCGAUUGGAGCGGCCGAUAUCAGAUUAGGUAGUUGGUGGGGUAAAGGCCCACCAAGCCAACGAUCUGUAGCUGGUCUGAGAGGACGACCAGCCAUACUGGAACUGAGACACGGUCCAGACUCCUACGGGAGGCAGCAGUGGGGAAUUUUGGACAAUGGGCGAAAGCCUGAUCCAGCCAUUCCGCGUGCAGGAUGAAGGCCCUCGGGUUGUAAACUGCUUCUGUACAGAACGAAAAGGUUUCUACAAAUACUAGGAGCUCAUGACGGUACUGUAAGAAUAAGCACCGGCUAACUACGUGCCAGCCGCCGCCGUAA
rnacentral:rRNA from 1 species